rnacentral:rRNA from 1 species
CCUACGGGGGGCAGCAGUGGGGAAUAUUGCACAAUGGGGGAAACCCUGAUGCAGCGACGCCGCGUGAGUGAAGAAGUAAUUCGUUAUGUAAAGCUCUAUCAGCAGGGAAGAAAAUGCCGGUACCUGAGUCAGAAGCCCCGGCUAAAUACGUGCCAGCAGCCGCGGUAAUACGGAGGGGGCAAGCGUUAUCCGGAUUUACUGGGUGUAAAGGGAGCGUAGACGGCAGUGCAAGUCUGGAGUGAAAGGCGGGGGCUCAACCCCCGGACUGCUCUGGAAACUGUACGGCUGGAGUGCAGGAGAGGUAAGGGGAAUUCCUAGUGUAGCGGUGAAAUGCGUAGAGAUUAGAAGGAACACCAGUGGCGAAGGCGGCUUACUGGACUGUAACUGACGUUGAGGCUCGAAAGCGUGGGGAGCAAACAGGAUUAGAUACCCGGGUAGUC